GACGAACGCUGGCGGCGUGCUUAACACAUGCAAGUCGAACGGAAAGGCCCUGCUUGCAGGGUACUCGAGUGGCGAACGGGUGAGUAACACGUGGGUGAUCUGCCCUGCACUUCGGGAUAAGCCUGGGAAACUGGGUCUAACACCGGAUAGGAGCCAUUUUUAGUGUGAUGGUUGGAAAGUUUUUUCGGUGUAGGAUGAGCUCGCGGCCUAUCAGCUUGUUGGUGGGGUAAUGGCCUACCAAGGCGGCGACGGGUAGCCGGCCUGAGAGGGUGGACGGCCACAUUGGGACUGAGAUACGGCCCAGACUCCUACGGGAGGCAGCAGUGGGGAAUAUUGCACAAUGGGCGCAAGCCUGAUGCAGCGACGCCGCGUGGGGGAUGACGGCCUUCGGGUUGUAAACUCCUUUCGCUAGGGACGAAGCUUUUGUGACGGUACCUAGAGAAGAAGCACCGGCUAACUACGUG
rnacentral:rRNA from 1 species